CGAUUACUAGCGAUUCCGGCUUCAUGCAGGCGAGUUGCAGCCUGCAAUCCGAACUGAGAAUGGUUUUUUGGGAUUGGCUCCACCUCGCGGUUUCGCGACCCUUUGUACCAUCCAUUGUAGCACGUGUGUAGCCCAGGUCAUAAGGGGCAUGAUGAUUUGACGUCAUCCCCACCUUCCUCCGGUUUGUCACCGGCAGUCACCUUAGAGUGCCCAACUGAAUGCUGGCAACUAAGGUCAAGGGUUGCGCUCGUUGCGGGACUUAACCCAACAUCUCACGACACGAGCUGACGACAACCAUGCACCACCUGUCACUCCGUCCCCCGAAGGGGAACCCUCUAUCUCUAGAGGUAGCGAAGGAUGUCAAGACCUGGUAAGGUUCUUCGCGUUGCUUCGAAUUAAACCACAUGCUCCACCGCUUGUGCGGGCCCCCGUCAAUUCCUUUGAGUUUCAGCCUUGCGGCCGUACUCCCCAGGCGGAGUGCUUAAUGCGUUAGCUGCAGCACUAAAGGGUGGAAGCCCUCUAACACUUA
rnacentral:rRNA from 1 species